GGUGAACCUGCGGAAGGAUCAUAGUAAUCGUCU
rnacentral:rRNA from 1 species